rnacentral:rRNA from 1 species
AUUGAACGCUGGCGGCAUGCUUUACACAUGCAAGUCGAACGGCAGCGCGGGCUUCGGCCUGGCGGCGAGUGGCGAACGGGUGAGUAAUGCAUCGGAACGUGCCCAGUAGUGGGGGAUAGCCCGGCGAAAGACGGAUUAAUACCGCAUACGACCUGAGGGUGAAAGCGGGGGACCGAAAGGCCUCGCGCUAUUGGAGCGGCCGAUGUCGGAUUAGCUAGUUGGGGGGGUAAAGGCUUACCACGACGACGAUCCGUAGCUGGUCUGAGAGGACGACCAGCCACACUGGGACUGAGACACGGCCCAGACUCCUACGGGAGGCAGCAGUGGGGAAUUUUGGACAAUGGGGGCAACCCUGAUCCAGCCAGGCCGCGUGCGGGAAGAAGGCCUUCGGGUUGUAAACCGCUUUUGUUCGGGAAGAAAUCCUCUGGGCUAAUACCCCGGGGGGAUGACGGUACCGGAAGAAUAAGCACCGGCUAACUACGUG